rnacentral:rRNA from 1 species
CGUGAGUAAUGUAUCGGAACGUGCCCAGUAGCGGGGGAUAACUACUCGAAAGNGUAGCUAAUACCGCAUACGCCCUACGGGGGAAAGCAGGGGAUCGCAAGACCUUGCNCUAUUGGANCGGCCGAUAUCGGAUUAGCUAGUUGGUGGGGUAACGGCUCACCAAGGCGACGAUCCGUAGCUGGUUUGAGAGGACGACCAGCCACACUGGGACUGAGACACGGCCCAGACUCCUACGGGAGGCAGCAGUGGGGAAUUUUGGACAAUGGGGGAAACCCUGAUCCAGCCAUCCCGCGUGUGCGAUGAAGGCCUUCGGGUUGUAAAGCACUUUUGGCAGGAAAGAAACGUCAUGGGUUAAUACCCCGUGAAACUGACGGUACCUGCAGAAUAAGCACCGGCUAACUACUGU